UGUUUUGUAGACAUUCCUCAGUGUGUCGAUGUCUGUAUUUGAUGCGUGGUGGAGUUGGCGCAACAAAGCAGUGGUGUGGCAUACCUCUGUAUCCCAUCAACAGUGACCCAGAUUGUUGGCGUUGGAGUAGGUUUUAGAGCUUGCUGAUCUUGCGUCGAUCAAGUUACCUGCUUCUCGCUCACAUAAGGCAGCAUAUCAAUCUGACAAAGAUGCUCAACAUUCCUGAAAGGCUCGCAGGUCGGCACUGUUGUUGUGAACAGGCACUGCUGCUCGGAUGCAGGGGUCUGGUCAAUACUGGUAGGACCUUGGAGUAACCAACCAAGCUUGGUAUAGACAGCGAUGGGUCCCCCUGUUGGACCCAAAUGAACUGGUUCUGUGGGUGUCAGGAGAUGAGGCAUGUCAGAGCCGAUAAGCAGCAGAGGUUGAACAUGGUCUACCAAAGGCAGAGGUAAGUCACGCAAGUGUUUAUAGUGACGCUGGAGAAUCUUCACUGGAUGCAAAUGUUCUGAGAGACCAAGAGCAUCAGCGGUGAAUGCCUUGUGUAUAUGAUACUUCUCCCCAGAUUUGUAGGGGGAGGAUACUUGGAAGGAAACUGAGGCACUGCGAAGCUACACUACCUCUUGGUGGACAGUCCGCACGAUGCUAUAGAUCGAAGUGUGAGAAGAAGCAUAAACCCAUUUUUCAAGGCAAUUUCGAUGACAUCAUCUCUGUAGAUCCUCUGGAGCUGAGUAACGUUGUCCGUGAAAGAUCGCAACAAGGGGGAGAAGAAGAAGAUGAUGAUGUUAUUGUUGUUGACGUACACCAGGAAGAGAAGAAUUUAAAAAAAAGAUCUUAAAAGUGAAGGUAAACAUGCUCAGGUCUCUGCCAUUUUUUAAAUACAAGAAUAUGACAUGUAAUUCAUCCGAUCCUGGCUCUAGCGCUCCUUCCGACCUUGAGUGGUAUUAUCGUGUACUAGAUUGUCGCUUUUUGUUGUGUUUUUCUUUUCUUUUUCUUUUUUUAUUUCUUGACAAAGGGAAUCAGGAAUAUAUCGAGCUGGGUCACCACUAUAGACAAUCCGGCAGAGGAGGAGGAAGAGGGAGUUGAAGCAUCCCGAGCUCUCCCUCCUAUCACACCCAAACCUUGCGGGCUGCACGUCAGGAGACUCGGAGACUCUGCAUGCCCAGCCUGAGGACCUGCUGCUACUGAUCUGUUGUGAGUGUGGUGAGUCGGUGAGGUGUGAGCAUGAAGAGGAAUCCCUGGGAGGAGAAGCCCCCAUGUGUGAAUAACCCGCUUGUGUUUUGACCUCACUGCCUUUGUGACCCCUGGAGACCCCAACCUCCUUUCCCUUUACCUGUACAUAGUAGCACUUGGUGUAAGAAAAGAAACUAACUGAUCUCUGUGAUUCCAGUCUGCGUCUGAGUCCCUCCUGAGCUCGUGACAGAUUCACUUGUUGAAUAAUGUUCAUUGCAGUCUCAUUUAUGUUGAUGUAAAUAUCUGGAAUUAUAACAUUGUUUGUUUGAAGUUCUGGUAAUGGCCCUUCUUCAUGGAGGUGAGAGUUAACAUAAAUGUUAUUUAUAAAUGACUGUAUUCCAACAUUGUUUGUGACACCUGUAUGCCACAGCUGAAAAGGUGUCUGUCCUCCUUGUGUAGAGAGACUUCCACUUAUUGACAAAUUCUGUUAAUGCUCUUUCAGUCCUUGGCAAAUAAACAUAAUGCACACAAAAAA